rnacentral:rRNA from 1 species
GAUGAACGCUGGCGGCAUGCCUAACACAUGCAAGUCGAACGCUUCCGGGGCGUUCGGUCCCGGGGGAGUGGCGCACGGGUGAGUAGCGCGUGGGAACCUGCCCUGUUGUGGGGGAUAACCGAGGGAAACUUCGGCUAAUACCGCAUACGCCCGCGGGGUAACCCGGGGAAGAUUUAUCGCAGCAGGAGGGGCCGCGUCGGAUUAGCUGGUUGGUGGGUAACGGCCCACCAAGGCGAUGAUCCGUAGCUGGUCUGAGA